rnacentral:rRNA from 1 species
GAUGAACGCUGGCGGCGUGCUUAACACAUGCAAGUCGAACGAGGUCCAUGGAGCUUGCUCCGGAAGACCUAGUGGCGAACGGGUGCGUAACACGUGAGAAACCUGCCCCGGACUUUGGGAUAACAGUUGGAAACGACUGCUAAUACCGAAUGCCGUCGUUGAGUCGCAUGGCUCGACGACGAAAGGUCCGCCGGUCCGGGAGGGUCUCACGGCCUAUCAGCUUGUUGGAGAGGUAACGGCUCACCAAGGCAUCGACGGGUAGCUGGUCUGAGAGGAUGAUCAGCCACACUGGGACUGAGACACGGCCCAGACUCCUACGGGAGGCAGCAGUGGGGAAUCUUGCACAAUGGGCGCAAGCCUGAUGCAGCAACGCCGCGUGCGGGAAA